rnacentral:lncRNA from 1 species
UGCCUCUGCCAUCCUCAGCCCCGUGGAAUAAUUGCAACAGGAAACCCUAUGGCUCACAAACCUACAUAGUUACCAUCUCUGACAAAUGGAAAUGGCAAGCAACAGGAUAUAUUGGAGUAUAUUGUAAACCUAAUUCAGCCUGACUUUGUUUUCCAAAAGGGCCUGACAUGGCCGUUGAGCACACAUUGUAUAUCUGCUUUAAACAUUUGCUAUGUCAAGAACAAAGGCCCUUAAGAUAAAGGUGCAACUUCCCCCUACGUUGUCAUUUCCUUAAGGAUAAGCAUCUUUCCUUAGGCUAGGAAAUGAUUGCUGAACUCACCUUUGACCACCCAGCUCACCUGUGACCACCCAGCUCGAGACAGCAGACCUGCCAUCCUGCUGUGUCCACGGAGACAGCAAACCUACUACCUGCUGUGUCCAUCGAUGGCUGUGCCGACAGAGCAGUCUCAUGACUAUUGUAAAAGGGACAUUUCAAUCCUAUGUGAAACAUCCUCUUUGGGGCAUAUAACCACUCUGUGCACCCUGCUUCUUUAGCGUCCUUUCUUCCCUUGGGAAGAAAGGCCCUGGGCCAUGGUCCUCACAAUGUAGCUCAGAAUAAACUCUCCCAAAUUUUCAUUUAUAGAUUGGUUAUGGAUUAUUUUCGUCGACACUCGUCAUUUAUAGAAAAAGUCUGGCAACCUCUGAAUUAAAGGACAAAUACCUGAAACCAAGAUAUUCGUUCAUAACAGGCAUUGGAAUCCCCUGGUCUAAGCACAGCCCCGGUGUCUCCACUUUAUGCCUCCCCACACGGAAAACCCACUGCCGGGUCCCAAAAAAUGGUACAAGAAAGGUAAUGCAGAACCCGAGCUUCUUGGCAUUUACAGUUCCGUUUAGGAAACAAAAUGGAAAUAACUGUAAAGAAAAUUGUGAGCCGUUUCUGCAAUAAAUGUUUAAGAGUCGAACAAGCAGAUUUGAGAAGAAAGAACUCACGAUAUGACAAGGGAACGCUUCAGGCCGACAGUGGGAUGAGAGCAGAGUCCUUUAUGAGAGCGAAAUUUGAAAGAAGAAACAGGAUACAGUACAACGAGAUUAACCAGGAAAGAGCCAGCAACCUGUUCAACCUCCCGUCCAGAUGGAGGUGUCAGCCUCAGCCAUAAGCCUGAUCGUGGCGAACAAUUUCCAGUGCUGAACAUCCCAAAACUCAUCUGCUGGGCAUUAAAACUCGAGAAAUUCCCACAUUAACUACUGCCAGAGUUUUUGUCAGCAAAAUAUAACCAUGGUUUAUCACCCAAAGUUGAUACAUUUUUAUCCAAAAGGAAAUACAGUUGAUCCUCAUUACUCACAGAGCCUGUAUUUGUGAAUUUGUCUAUUCGCUAGCAUUUACUUGUAAUCCUAAAAAUCAAUUCUUGUGGUGCCUUCAUUGUGGUUCAUGGACAUGCACAGAGGGUGGAAUUCUCAAGGCACUCCACGUGCACGCUUGCAGCUGAAGGUGAGCAGAGCAAGGCUCCCCUUCUUGUCUCAGCUUUCACACUAUAAACAAGUGUCCCUUUUGUGGUCUAUUUUGUGCCACAUUUUUCAUAUUUUUGCGCCUUUUGUUGGUUAUUUUGCUGCUUAAAAUGGCCCAACCACAGUGCCAAAGUGCUGUCUCAUGUUCCCAAGUGUGAGAGGCUGCGACGUUUCUCAGGGAGAAAGUCUGUCUACUGGGUGAGUGUCGUUCAGGCGUCACUUAGAGCACUGUUGAGUUCAACGUCCAUCAGUCAACAACGAGUACAUAUUACAGAUAGGUAUCUGUAAACCAAAUGCACAUCAAACAAAGUAGUAUAUUGGUCACUUGACAAACAUGUGGUGACGAGAGCUUUGAGGACCUUACCCCUAUAUUUGCCCCCGAGUAGCGGCCCAGCCUCCACUAAGUCAGGGUUCACGGGGACUUUGUAGAACAGAACCAUUGCAAAUCACGAGAACUGACCCUAAUUAAUUUUGCUUGUUUUCAGUCUACCUUGCUUUAUCAUGAGUUAUUUCUGAGGCAGCAAAGCAAAUGUUUAAUAAAAUCCAGG